AGCAACAACAAACGUGGCUCAACAGCCGCGUCGCGAUGCUUCGCUGAUAACUUGUCUAGCGGCAGCCGCAACCGUCACAUGCAAUGUGGCACCACAUUUUGGACAGCAGUGUAGCCUAAGCCGCUUGAUUUAAGACCUGCAACGCAUUGACAACAGGAAAGAGACAGCAUGAGGCAAUGCAGAAGCAGCGCUGUUAAAUUUGGCUUUGGAAUGCGCUAUCUAUUCACAUCGUUGGAAUGUACUAGAAAAACUGGGCAGCAUUUUUGAAGUUUGACUGGAAAUCGAAAGUAAAACCAAAUGGGCAGCACUUUUAUGCUUGAGGCGAACUAAUGGAGUGUCCGUAAACAUGUUUGACUCUUAAGAGUGCUCUGCACGUUUUCUUACAGUUUAACUGAGCAAACGUGUGCUAAAAAUAAACGCAAAAAGAAGACGAUUGUCAAAUCGUUUUGACCAUGUUUACAGCAUUUUUAAAGACUAAGCCACACCUUCUGCACACCUUGUCGUUUAAACUCUGACUUUAGUGAUGUACUUAUAAAUAGAUACAUAUACAUAUGUAUUAAAUAUAUGCAAAUACACGCACAACAAACAUAUACAUAUAUGUUUGUUAAUUACUUCAUUAAGGGA